rnacentral:rRNA from 1 species
ACUCCUACGGGAGGCAGCAGUGGGGAAUUUUGGACAAUGGGCGCAAGCCUGAUCCAGCCAUUCCGCGUGAGUGAAGAAGGCCUUCGGGUUGUAAAGCUCUUUCGCAAGGGAAGAAAACUUACAUUCUAAUAAAGUGUGAGGCUGACGGUACCUUGAUAAGAAGCACCGGCUAACUACGUGCCAGCAGCCGCGGUAAUACGUAGGGUGCGAGCGUUAAUCGGAAUUACUGGGCGUAAAGCGUGCGCAGGCGGUUUUGUAAGUCAGAUGUGAAAUCCCCGGGCUCAACCUGGGAACUGCGUUUGAAACUACAAGGCUAGAGUGUAGCAGAGGGGGGUAGAAUUCCACGUGUAGCAGUGAAAUGCGUAGAGAUGUGGAGGAAUACCAAUGGCGAAGGCAGCCCCCUGGGUUAACACUGACGCUCAUGCACGAAAGCGUGGGGAGCAAACAGGAUUAGAUACCCUGGUAGUCCACGCCCUAAACGAUGUCUACUAGUUGUUGGGAGAGUAAAAUCUCUUAGUAACGCAGCUAACGCGUGAAGUAGACCGCCUGGGGAGUACGGUCGCAAGAUUAAAACUUAAAGGAAUUGACG